UACGUAGGGUGCAAGCGUUAAUCGGAAUUACUGGGCGUAAAGCGUGCGUAGGCGGUUGCGCAAGACAGGUGUGAAAUCCCAGGGCUUAACCUUGGAAUUGCACUUGUGACUGUGCGGCUGGAGUGCGGUAGAGGGGGAUGGAAUUCCGCGUGUAGCAGUGAAAUGCGUAGAUAUGCGGAGGAACACCGAUGGCGAAGGCGGGUCUCUGGGCCGAUACUGACGCUGAGGAGCGAAAGCGUGGGGAGCGAACAGG
rnacentral:rRNA from 1 species